rnacentral:rRNA from 17 species
GUCUCGAUGGAGGACGCUGCGAAAAGUGAUAUGGGAUGACGAUGACAAGACUUCAUCAUCGUCGAGGUCGCGAUCGCAAA